ACCACGUCAGCCUCCUGGAAUCUCUAUCUGCGGAGUCCGGCGGAAGGAAGUGAAAAAUUCAUGGAAAGGACUCUGACAUUUACACUGGAGUACAGGUUUCUGACAAACUUUCUGAUCAUAAAACUGAACUUGAUUUAAAGAAAACUUUUUCUCUUUUCUCCCGAGAUAGCUAUGACUUACAGCAAUUUAGUAAAUGAUAUAUUUUUGUAAGUAAAAUUAAAAUAUUUAUCUUUUUCUCUCUAUCUGAUCCCUCCAGGAUUUGGAAACUCUUAGUGAGUGAAUAUUGUUGUUUUCAUGGCAAUAUAGUUAUUUGCAUAAGUUCAAUAAGAAUCUGUUCUCCUUAUAACAAGACACAAUUGGAAACACUGGGUCUGUUACCAAGGUUGUGACUGGAACAUCAUAUUUGCAAUAUAACCAUACAGCUUUUGAGGAAUGAAGAUUGGACUUUAUGGAAUAAAGCCACGUAGAAAUAUUGGCCUGGUACCUUUAUGUUCCAGGCAGCACUUACCAGGAUAAAUAAAAAAUGUCACUUAUCUGGCAGGUACAAGGAACCUCAAAAUAUUUUGGGGGAACCUCGGAAGAGAGGAAUUCACCCAAAUCUGUAGGUAUUGCAGGCAACGUCUGAUGAUAAAAUCCUUGGCUUGGCUUUCCUGGCCUCGAGAGACCUUUCAAGUUCAAUCUGAGAUUCCUUAUAAAAAGUUCCAGCAAAGCAGGUUUAAAAGAGCCUAUGUGAUCAAUUGCUAUUCUUGCUGUACUUAUGUAAAUAAUUGGGCCAACUCUAUUGGAUCUAGACUUAUUUUGCAAACUAGUUAGUUUUAAUUUGGCUAUCUUAAUAAAAAUGAGGGUGAUUUUAGAGAAAAAAAUUAUAUUUCAGUAAAAACUAUAGUAUACAUUUGUGGAUAUUAGAUCCUAGUUUUGUUGUCUUUUGAGGUUUUUGUUUUAUAUCUGUUGACUAGACUGGAUCCUGAUUUCUUCUAGUCUCCUGAAAUAUCUGGCUACAGAUAUCCAAACUAACGUUUUUGAUUUUUUCCAUCAUUUUCAUUUAAAAUCACUGAAAACUGAACCUGCCCUUUUUCCUGAAGCCUUACAAACUGAAGCUGAUAGACUUGAUAUAAACUUAAGAUGACCUGACGACAUCAUCAGAGACAUUUUAAACUGCAAAAGAUGUUUUGACGCUGACAUCUAAAAGUCUUCUUCACUGGCUGUCCUCUGAACUCAAAAACUGCUUUACAACUUGCUCCAACCAUUAACCUUGUUUUUCUUUUAUAGAAAUACUUCUAUUAAAUACUUGAUUGCUUGCUUCCACAAUAUAGGCGUGACCUUGAGAGCCCACCUGC